rnacentral:miRNA from 1 species
UCCUUUCUUGCUUCGCUUGCGUG